rnacentral:lncRNA from 10 species
UCUAUCUCGUGCUUCUAACGGUAGAGCAGGGACGAGGGCACCGUGGAAGGAUGCUUGUAAGGAUCAGGGCUUGUGGUGCUUUACCUCGCUUCUGCCUGCAUUCCCUGGGCCAGAACUCAGUUUAUGACCCACGUCUAACUACAAGGAAGACUGGUUUUCCUCUGUGCCCAGGAAGAGGACCCAGAGGACCCAGGUAGGAACACAGUGACACUCUGCCACAGCCUCCAUUGGGACACCAUGCUCCUCAGGUCAAGGGAGUCAUUUGUCCUUUACAGCAUAGAUGCGUGGGAUCAGCACGGUGUGCCACCUGGGAUAAUGUGUCUUCCUGCAGAGUCUCUAGUGACAUCGCCUUUCUUCCUUGAUGGCAUCGCUGCUACGUUUUUCCUGAUCAAUCUCCCUAGAGGUCUACCGAUGUUAUUCAUCUUUGCAAAGACUAUCUUUUAGUGUCAGUAAUUGUUAUAUUUUUCCUGUGUCCUAUUUCUAUGAUAUAGGCUGUAAUACUCAUUAUUUACUUCCUUCUGCGUAUGUUGGGUUUAAUUUACCUUUUCCCCCUUCCCAGUUGCUUUUUUUUUUUUUGUUUUGAGACAGAGUCUCGCUGCAUCACCAAGGCUGGAGUGCAGUGCUGUGAUAUUGGCUCACUGCAACCUCCGCCUCCUGAGUUCAAGCCUUUCUUCUGCCUCAGCCUCCUGCAUAGCUGGGAUUACAGGCAUGCACCACCCCUGCUGGGCUAAUUUUUAUUUUUAUUUUUAGUAGAGAUGGGGUUUCAUCAUAUUGGACAGGCUGGUCUUGAACUCUUGACUUCAAGUGAUCCACCCACCUUGGCCUCCCAAAGUGCUAGGAUUACAGGUGUGAGCCACCACGCCCGGCUCCUCCCAGUUUCUUAAGGUGGAAGUUAAGGUCAUUCACUUCAAACCUUUCUUCUUCUCUAAUAUAGGUAUUUAGUAUUUUAUGUGCCUUUCCAAGGACUGCUUUAGAGGCACCCAACAGAUGUUUAUAUGUUGGGUUUUCAUUUUUAUUCAAUUCAAAAUACUUUCUUAUUCCCCACUUUGAUUCCUUCUUGACCUAAGGGUUAUUUAGGAAUGUGUUACUCAGUUUCCAAAUGUUUGAAUUUUCCAGAUAUCUUUUGGCUGUUGAUUUCUAAUUUAGUUUUAUUAUGGUGAGAGGACAAAUUUUGUAUGAGUUGAAUGCUUUUCAAUUUAUCAAGACCUAUUUUAUGGCCCAGAAUAUGGUCUAUCCUUAUAAAUGCUGGUGAGAGGAAUGUGUGUUCUCUCGUUGUUGGGUAGAAUGUACUGCAAGCAUCUACCAGGUCAAGUUCCUCUCGUGGUGUUGUUCACAUCUAUAUCCUUACUGAAUUUUUUGUCUAUUUGUUCUGUCAGUUAUGGAGAGAAUGGUAUUGAAAUCUCCAACUGUAAUUGUCUGUUUUUCUAUUUUUCCUUUUGGUUCUUUGAGCCUUUGCUUCUUGUAUUUUUUAUCUUUCUUCUUUCACUUUUUCACAAUUAUUAUUUUCACAAAAAAUAAAAAUUUGCUUAUUUUAUUAUUUAUCUGUUUUGUAUAAUUUCAACGUUAGAUAUUCUAGAUAUGGAGGUACAUGUUCAGGUUUGUUACAUGGCUAUGUUGUGUGAUGCUGAGGUUUGUGGUACAGAUCCUUUCACCCAGGUGGUGAGCAUAGCACUCAAUAGGUAGUUUUUCAACCCAAGUCCCCCUCCCUCCCUUCCCUGCUAGGAGUCUGUGGUGUCUAUUGUUCCCACUUAUGUCCAUGUGUUCUCAAAGUUUAGCUCCCACUUAUAAGUGAGGACUUGCAGUAUUUGGUUUUCUUCUUUCUUCCUUUCUUUCUUUCUUUCUUUCUUUCUUUUUUUUUUUUUUUUUUGAGAAAGAGUCUCAUUCUGUCACCCAGGCUGGAGUGCAGUGGUGCAAUCUCAGCUUACUGCAACCUCCGCCUUCCAGGUUCAAGUGAUUCUCCUGCCUCAGCCUCCCGAGUAGCUGGGAUUACAGUUGUGCACCACCAUGCCCAGCUAAUUUUCAUAUUUUUAGUAGAGACAAGGUUUCACCAGUAGAGACGAGGUUGGCCAGGCUGGUCUUGAACUCCUGACCUCAGGUGAUCCACCCACCUCGGCCUCCCAAAGUGCUAGGAUUGCAAGUGUGAGCACACCGCACCCAGCCAUGGUUUUCUGCUCCUGUGUUAAUUCACUUAAGAUUAUAGCCUCCAGCUUCAUCCAUGUGACUGCAAAGGACAUGACUUUAUUCUUUUUUAUGACUGCAUAGUAUUCCAUGGCAUACAUGUACCCCAUUUUCUUUAUCCAGUCCACUGUUGAUGAGCAUCUAGGUUGAUUUCAAGUCUUUGCUAUUAUGAAUAGUGCUGCAAUGAACCUAUGACUACAUGCAUCUUUUUGGUAAAAUGAUUUUAUUUUCUUUUGGGUAUAUAUCCAGUAAUGAGAUUGCUGGGUUGAGUGGUAGCUCUGUUUUAAGUUCUUUGAGAUUUCUUUGAGAUAUCUCCAAACUGCUUUCCACAGUGGCUGAACUAAUUUACUUUCCCACCAACAGUGUAUAAGAGUUCCCUUUUCUCUGCAGCCUCACUAGCAUCUGUUAUUAUUUGACUUUUUAGUAAUAGCCAUUCUGACUGGUGACAGAUGGUAUCUCAUUAUAAUUUUGAUUUGCAUUUCUUUGAUGAUUCGUUAUGAUAAACAUUUUUUCAUGUUUGUUGGCUGCUUGUAUAUCUUCUUUUGAGGAGUGCAAGUCCUUUGCCCAUUUUUAACAGGGUUAUGUGUUUUUUGUGUAUUGACUUGUUUAAGUUCCUUAUAGAUUCUGUAUAUUAGACUUUUGUUGGAUGCAUAGUUUGCAAAUAUUUUCCCCAUUCUGUAGGUUGUCUAUUUACUCUGUUAAUAGUUUAUUUGCUGUGCAGAAGCUAUUUAGUUUAAUUAGGUCCCACUUCUUAAUUUUUGCUUUUGUUGCAAUUGCUUUUGAGGAGUUGGGCAAAAAUUCUUUGCUAAGGCUAAUGUCAGUAAAGGUAUUUUCUAAGUUUUCUAGAAUUUCUUUACACUUUGAGUCUCUUACAUUUAAAUCUUUAAUCCAUUUUGAGUUAAUUUUUGCAUAUGGUGAAAGGUAGGGGCUCACUUUCAUUCUUCUGUAUAUGGCCAGCCAGUUAUCCCAGCGCCAUUUAUUGAAUAGGGAUUUCUUUCCCUUCUCCUUGUUUUUGUCAGCUUUGCUAAAGAUCAGAUGGUUAUAGGUGUGUGGCUUUAUUUCUGAGUUCUACAUUUUUUUCAGUUGGUUUAUGUGUCUGUUGUUGUACCAAUGCCAUGCUGUCUUGGUUGCUGUAUCCUUAUAGUAUAGUUUGAAGUCAGGUAGUGUGAUGCUUCCAGCUUGUUCUUUUUGUUUAGGAUUGCUUUGGCUAUUCAGGCUUAUUUUUUUUUGGUUCUAUACAAAUUUUAGAGUUUUAAAAAUAAUCCUGUGAAAAAUGAUGUUAGUAGUAUGAUAAAAAUAGCAUUGACUCUGUAAAUUGCUUUGGGCAGUAUGGCCAUUUAAAUAAUAUUGGUUCUUCCGAUUUGUGAGAAUGGAAUGUUUUUCCACAGAUUUGUGGAAAUCUGACUUUGACUUCCUUCAACAGUGUUUUAUAGUUCUCCUUGUAGAGAUUUUUCACCUCCUUAGUAGGUGCAUAAAUGUUUAGAAUUGCUAUGUUCUCUUGAUUGACUGCUUUAUCUUCAUGGCGUAGUCUUAUUUCUUCCUGUAAUUUUCCUUGCUUUAAAAUGUACAUUGUGUAAUAUUAAUAUAACCACUAUAGCUUUCUUAUGUCCAAUGUUAGGGUAGUUUUAUGGCCUUAAUUAUGUCUUUUUUCCACCCUCAAAUUUAUAGGUUGAAGCUCUAACCCAUGAUGUGACUGUAUUUGGAAAUAAGAUCUACAAGGAAGUAAUGAAGGUUAAGUGAGAGGAGAGGCCAUGUGAGGAUGCAGAAGAAAGAGAUAAUCUUCAAGAGAACCCUCAUCAGGAAUCAAAUUGUCCAGGACCUUAAUCUGGGACUUCUAACGUCCAGAACUGUCAGAAAAUACAUCUCUGUUGUUUGAGCCACUCAGUCUAGAAUAUUUUGCUAUGGCAGCCAAAGCUGAUUAAUGUAAAUGGCAUAGCUUGUUUCUUUUCUUUUAUUUUUUUUUUGUCUCCAUAUUUACAGUAUGUUUCUUGCCAUCUGUGUAUAUUUGAGUCCUUUUUAUAUAGAUCUGGCAAUCUGUGUUUUUUAAUGAGAGUGUUUAGACCAUUUACAUUUAUUGUGAUUAUAUUGUUAGGUUGAGUCUAUGCUUUUGCUGUCUGUUUUUAAUGUUGGCAUUUUUUUCUUUUUCCAUUUUUAAUUUUUUCCUACCUUUUAAAGAUAACUUGUGGAUAUUGUUGGUGACUAUCUCCUUUGCUGGCUUAUUAUAUAUAGCUCUUUUAUUGUUAUAUUAGUGGUUGCUUCAGGGCUUAUAGUAUAUAUCAUUAACUUACCACAGUCUAUUUUCAAACAAUAUGCCAUAUCAUGUAUAGUAUAAAACCUUGUAACAGUAUACUUGAAUUUCUCCACUACCUGCCUUGAUGGUAUGGUUGUCAUACAUUUUGCUUACACAUGUUAUGACCCCUGCAUUACAUGCUUUUGUUUAAGUAAUUAUCUUUAAAAACAGUUAAACAAUAAGAAUAAAUUUUAAAAUACUUACCUGUG